UAAUAAUGCUGGGGGAGCCGUUUGGCAGAGCGGGAAGAAAUUCCUGACCCUUUGAACCUGAUGUGGUUAGUACCAACGUAGGGAAGCUAAUAUUAUAUUUA
rnacentral:ncRNA from 2 species